rnacentral:rRNA from 1 species
GGUAGCCGGCCUGAGAGGGNGACCGGCCACACUGGGACUGAGACACGGCCCAGACUCCUACGGGAGGCAGCAGUGGGGAAUAUUGSGCAAUGGANGAAACNCUGACCCAGCGACGCCGCGUGCGGGAUGAMGGCCUUCGGGUUGUAAACCGCUUUCAGCAGGGAAGAAGCGAAAGUGACGGUACCUGCAGAAGAAGCACCGGCUAACUAUGUGCCAGCAGCCGCGGUAAUACAUAGGGUGCAAGCGUUGUCCGGAAUUAUUGGGCGUAAAGAGCUCGUAGGUGGUUCGUCACGUCGGAUGUGAAACUCUGGGGCUUAACCCCAGACCUGCAUUCGAUACGGGCGANCUUGAGUNUGGUAGGGGA